rnacentral:rRNA from 1 species
GUAACGACUUCCCUACUGUCUCAACCAUGAACUCGGCGAAAUUGCAUUACGAGUAAAGAUGCUCGUUACGCGCAGCAGGACGGAAAGACCCCGGGACCUUUACUAUAGUUUGGUAUUGGUGAUUGGGACGGUUUGUGUAGGAUAGGUGGGAGACGUUGAUGCGGCCACGCUAGUGGUGGUGGAGUCGUUGGUGAAAUACCACUCUGAUUGUUCUGGUUAUCUCACUGUGGACCGUGAUCCGGUUCAAGGACAGUGCCUGAUGGGUAGUUUGACUGGGGCGGUCGCCUCCUAAAGGGUAACGGAGGCGCCCAAAGGUUCCCUCAGCCUGGUUGGCAAUCAGGUGUUGAGUGUAAGUGCACAAGGGAGCUUGACUGUGAGAGUGACAGCUCAAGCAGGUACGAAAGUAGGGACUAGUGAUCCGGCACCUACGUGUGGAAGUGGUGUCGCUCAACGGAUAAAAGGUACCUCGGGGAUAACAGGCUGAUCUUGCCCGAGCGCUCAUAGCGACGGCAUGGUUUGGCACCUCGAUGUCGGCUCGUCGCAUCCUGGGGCUGGAGUCGGUCCCAAGGGUUGGGCUGUUCGCCCAUUAAAGCGGUACGCGAGCUGGGUUCAGAACGUCGUGAGACAGUUCGGUCCAUAUCCGGUGUAGGCGUUAGAAUAUUGAGAGGAGCCUUCUUUAGUACGAGAGGACCGAGAAGGACAUACCUCUGGUGUACCAGUUAUCGUGCCAACGGUAAACGCUGGGUAGCUAUGUAUGGAGUGGAUAACCGCUGAAAGCAUCUAAGUGGGAAGCCCACCUCAAGAUAAGUAUUCUCAUCACGUAAGUGAGUAAGGUCACGGUAAGACUAACCGUUUGAUAGGCAUUAAGUGUAAGUACAGUAAUGUAUGUGCUGAGAUGUCCUAAUAGACCGAGGACUUG